CAUGGGAUUUUAUUAGCAAGGUUACCAGAAUGGUUAAUUAGCGUUUAAGGUUUGUAAAGUGCUUUACAAACACCUCAUUUUAUCCUCUUGACAAUCUCGAGAUAAUGAAGAAAGGAAAGUAAGCAAAGGGAACAAGCCUGUAUAUGGCACCUAUUGUGGGCCAGGCACAGUUAAAUGCUUCAUGAAUACUGUGGCAUUUGAUUCUUAGAACAGCCCUGUGUGGAGGUUUGUGGAGGAAACAUGAUGGAUAGAAUUUGAGUGAAAAUCACCAGAGGCAGAAACAAACAAAAAAAAAUGAUACUGCCAUUGGAUCAUAUUACUGAACAUCCAGGAAGAAGGGAAAAAAAAAAGAUGAGGAUCUAAGGAAACAAAUCAUAGACCUGGCCCAGAAUCAUGCCAGAGUAGUCAUGGAGGACUACAAUGAUCUGGGCAUAUUCUAGAGACAUCUCUCCCUACCAAAAGCAGAACACCUAUUUUUUUUUACUUUGUCUUAAUUACAUACUCAUUUUUGGGAAUAUGGAUGAAGGAAUAAGGUGGCCAGCAAUCUCAUUAAAGAGGCCCUGGAGUAUUCUGAAGUUAAGUGAAAUCAACUAUGUUGCAUGCAAAAACAAUCAUCUGGAGAAUCUCACCAUUUAUAAAGAAUCUCUUUUAUUUGGAAGAAUUACUUUCCACUUAUGAAAAGCCUCAAGGUACGACUAUAAAUUUGGAGAACUGUGUAGGUCUCUGGGGGAAGUGAAAACCCACCACAGAGAGAAGAUGAAUUAUCAUGACUGUUUUACAGACUCAUAUGCAAGUCUUUGCAUUUUCUUUUGUGAUAAAUAAAGCCUGC
rnacentral:lncRNA from 1 species